AAAAUAAAAAAGAUUUAUAAACAUUAAAGAAAAUUGUUUGCGAUGCGCGAAGCGCAUCGCCUCAUUAAUACAUCGAUUUUGUAAUCGAUUUUUCAAUCAAUUUUCCUAGGAUCAUUUCCUCACGUGAUCUCAAAGGACCCCGCCCUAACAGGAUGGCGAUUUAAAGAGAAAGUCCUUGAAGACAAGAAACCCGGCCAGUGAGAUUAUUGAAAAAGUUGUAAUGUUACUUGGAUGUAUGAGGAAUCUGGACCUCACUGUAGCCUGCUGUGUAAGUGUGUAGCCUGCUGCCCGGCGACUAUCUAUGCUGGCACUCAGUGAAAACUACUUCAACUAAG